rnacentral:rRNA from 1 species
CCUACGGGAGGCAGCAGUAGGGAAUCUUCCACAAUGGGCGAAAGCCUGAUGGAGCAACGCCGCGUGGGUGAAGAAGGUCUUCGGAUCGUAAAACCCUGUUGUUAGAGAAGAAAGUGCGUGAGAGUAACUGUUCACGUUUCGACGGUAUCUAACCAGAAAGCCACGGGUAACUACGUGCCAGCAGCCGCGGGAAUACGUAAGUGGCAAGCGUUAACCGGAUUUAUUGGGCGUAAAGGGAUCGCUGGUGGGCUUUUAAGUCUGAUGUGAAAACCUUCGGGUUAACCGGAGUAAUGCAUUGGAAACUGGGGGACUUGAGUGCAGAAGAGGAGAGUGGAA